GACGAACGCUGGCGGCGUGCUUAACACAUGCAAGUCGAACGGAAAGGCCCUGCUUUUGUGGGGUGCUCGAGUGGCGAACGGGUGAGUAACACGUGAGUAACCUGCCCUUGACUUUGGGAUAACUUCAGGAAACUGGGGCUAAUACCGGAUAGGAGCGCCUGCUGCAUGGUGGGGGUUGGAAAGUUUCGGCGGUUGGGGAUGGACUCGCGGCUUAUCAGCUUGUUGGUGGGGUAGUGGCUUACCAAGGCUUUGACGGGUAGCCGGCCUGAGAGGGUGACCGGCCACAUUGGGCCUGAGAGACGGCCCAGACUCCUACGGGGGGCAGCAGGGGGGAAUAUUGUACAAUGGGCGGAAGCCUGAUGCAGCAACGCCGCGUGCGGGAUGACGGCCUUCGGGUUGUAAACCGCUUUCGCCUGUGACGAAGCGUGAGUGACGGUAAUGGGUAAAGAAGCACCGGCUAACUACGUG
rnacentral:rRNA from 1 species